UACGAAGGGGGCUAGCGUUGCUCGGAAUCACUGGGCGUAAAGGGUGCGUAGGCGGGUCUUUAAGUCAGGGGUGAAAUCCUGGAGCUCAACUCCAGAACUGCCUUUGAUACUGAGGAUCUUGAGUAUGGGAGAGGUGAGUGGAACUGCGAGUGUAGAGGUGAAAUUCGCAGAUAUCGGGAGGAACACCAGUAGCGAAGGCGGCUCGCUGGGCCACACCUGACGCUGAGACACGAAAGCGUGGGGAGCAAACAGG
rnacentral:rRNA from 1 species